rnacentral:lncRNA from 1 species
AAACAAACUUACCUAAAAUCUUAUCAUAUAUAGGAUUCUCAUUCACAAUAAAAAUUAAAAAUUAAAAAGUUUGUUUAUUAUUGGACAGCCUCUAUUUAAGCUUCGAUCAUUAAUCGAUGAACUUAAAAGGGGUGUCUUCCCUUCCAUGAUAGGAAGUGUGUUUUUAUUUAUCUAUAUAGCCUCUAUCACUUCCAUGAUCCAUCACCUAUUCAUCUGUUUCCACUUCGUGCCAUUUUCUGAUGUUUGCUGUCUGCGAGCCACCAACUGGCGCAUACGUUAUUCUGACAACUACAAAGCUAUUAAUUAAACCAGAUCCUAGGGUUAAAAAUUAAGCUUUGACUGGAGUGCUAUGCCGUAAAGGAACUUGAUUCAUGUCCCCUAUUUUCAAUUAUUUUUUAUCUAGCGCGUAACGACGACGGAAUCGUCCUACCCAAUAUGAUUGGUGUUCGACGACGGAAUCAUGUCCCCUUUUGUAUCCUUUUCUAUUCAUCUUUUCAAGAGAGUUAUUCUUUCUGGAAAAGGCACACAUAAGAAUUUCCUAUAUAAACGCUCUCAUUGUACCCUUUGUUGAAUAACAAACUUGCUUCUUAAUCCAAUUCAGUGUAUUAGCAGUUAGUAAAUUAAUUAACGUUCCGAACUCUAUUAAAAGUCUCGUUGCCCCUUAUUAACUUGCCUUUUCUAGUGGAAGAGAGAUUUGCAGCAGAAAGGGUAAGCAAAGAAAUGGAAGUGCUGAGGCGUGAUCCUCGUCAAAGGUAUGGAUUAAUUCUCUUCUCUUCUCUUCUCUCAAUGAUAUAUAAGUCAUUUGCUUAAUUUCAAUAAUAUCCUUUCAGUUUCAUUAUAAAAUUUGGGUUUCAAGUGGAGAGAUAAUUGCAUUAAUUCAUAAUAGAGAAAAUGACUUUUUGCAGGUCAUACACUGUGAUUAACAUGUCCAGCAAUGUAACCCACAUGCAUCCACCAACUAUUAUUGGGUAAGCAACUACUUUCAUUAUAUAAUUUAAAUUAUUUUCAGUAUUAUAUAUUUAAGUUAUUUUUUAUGUAUAUAUAUGUGUGUGUAUAUGUGUGUGUAUAUAAAAUAUCCUUUGGCUAGUAUGUAUAACAGUGAAAAUAAUUUAAAUUAUAGACUUAUUUUCACUAUUAGAAUCAGAGACUUAUUUUAUAAUAACCAUAAUUUGCUUAAUUUAAAUUAUUUUCACCAUUAGAUAUUUUCACUUGUUUGUAUGUAUAUAUGAUGCAACACGGCAAUAUAAAGUCAUGAUUUGUUCAUCUUGCACCAAAAUUAUGCAAAUUAAGGCGGGGGUGAUCUGGGUUGGGCUUGGCACAAGCCAUAGCUUUGUGAUCCAGGCUUUAGGCCAUAGCCUAAGAUGAUAUUUAUAACAGACAAUAUAACAUAUUCCUCAUCAUUUAUAUUACUUUGAUGUAAAACUUUGUUAUCAAAUUAAGUAAUUAUAUCUUAUUUUGAUGGUUUUGCAGUGUGCAAAAUUCCUCAUCACCCUCGGCACCGUACCACG